ACAACCAAAGUCACCAUUUCUUUUCUUCUAAAACUCAACCAAAUUCCUACCAAAACUUCCAUAGAUUCUCACCAAACUUCACAUUCGUUUAGCUUUUCACUUGGACAACAACUUAGGCUGGAAAAGGGAGGAGUUUCACGGCUGUCUUCAGGCUUCAUAGGGACCGAAAUUUUCUGAUUUGAACAGCCAUCAAAGUAGGUAGCCAUCUAACUUCUUAAACUUGUUUAUGGAGUUUGAUUUACGCAUUUGAGUUGGAAUCUUUACUUUAGUAGCUUGUAUUGUUGGAAAAAGUGGGCUCUAUGAAUUCCCACUCUUGGGUUGUUGCUGAUUCUGUGCUUGAUGAAGUUUAUGAUGACGGAUUAGUGUUUAAGUUAGUGUUUCGUUGAAGAAAAACUGCAGGAAACUCACGUAGAGAGCAAGGGCCAAACUUGACCAUUUUGCCCCUGCUCUGUUCGGUCAUUUUAUUGCAGAAAUUGAGGAUUUAAUGGCUUGAUUGUGUAGUUUACAUGUUGUAGAAGUUGUGUACAAAAUUUCGUUGAAAAAUAUUGAGUUUUGGUUGCUCAAACGAAUUUAUUUCAAAAACUAGUAAACUGGAAAACGGUUUCGCCGUAAUCCAGACCAGUGGUUGUAUUUCGUCCAUAACUCCGUACUCCGACGUCGAAAUCAGGUGCCGUUAGCGGUAUUUGAAACUAGACGUUUCCAUGUUUUUAUCGGUGUAUAAUGCACGUCCUGGUUUUAUGUGUGUGAGCCACACCAUUCAUCUGAAGUCGGCUGUCCUGUUUCUCCGUUCUGCCGAAAUGAUUUGAUAAUGCUGCAACUUGAGCCUUGAUUUUGAACCAGUUGCAUGCUGAAACUUGGAACGAUUUCUUCUGUGAAGUUGUAGCCCUAUGAAUUUAUUUUCUAACACUAUCAACCAUUCCCAAUUCCGAGUUAAAUUGAGAGAGUUAUGAUCAAAAUACGGCGACUGCUCGUUUUGAAAAUCUUAGAUUUGGACAGAUUGCCUUAAGGAUUUUUCCAAACUUUGGUUGAUUGAAUGACCCCCCUCCCGAGGGUAUUUUUCCGUGAAAUUUGAUAGAGAGAUAACCUUCAUAUGGAAGUAUUAUACUGCAAAAUUUGGUGUCAAUCCAAGUCCGUUUCGGCACUUAACUAAAGGUCCAAAGUUGGAACCAAAUCUGGAAAUUUUGUAACAGUCUUUAAUUUUUCCCAACUUUGAGCUACCAUAUCUUGGUGCUCGAAACUCCGAUUCUUGAUCCGUUUGUUCUGACCUAAACCUUACUUGCACCUAUAAUUUAUCUAUAAAUUUCAAGGGCUGGUUUACAACGAGUGAAUUCUGCCGAAUUUUCAAAGUUAGCGAAAAACCAACCCCGGCUCAAUCCUGGGUGAUUUGGAACAGCAACUUUAGGCUCAUUUUUGAGCACUUUCCACUUCGAUUCAUAGAAAAGUGUCUUCUAGGAACUUGCAGUACUUUCUAAGAGGUUUUCAACGGUAUAAAGUUUUCCAAUUCUCGACUUAUGCCGAGUGAGUUACGAUUUUUCAAAGAUUCAUAACAAAACUGAAAAUUUUCCAACUUUCAAGGAAAUAGAGUUUUUCAAGAACUCUUUAUUCUUUUGAUAUUAUCUAAACGUUUUAUCCCCGAUUUCCUAGAUAAAGACUUAAAUAUUGUUGAAUGUUAUUAAACCUCUCUCGAACCUCGAUUUACGAGUAAUUGAGGUUCAUUUUCACGGAAUUUCCUAGAGUAAUACUAGUGAACGAAUUAUUCCUCGAUAUUUGGGAUAUGGGUGAUAAUUCACUAUUAUUUGCUCAGGCACGCACGAGGACCUCCAAGAGGACCCUACUGUGGAAGUUUGAACUCUUCCUCCAAUUUACUUGCUUGCAUAACUUGGUGAGUGUCAAGUGUAUGCCUACUUGAACCCUAAAGUCUUGAUUCAUGCUUGAUUCACCUGAUUUCAUGCUUAGCUUAACUGAUUUUGACAAAAUGGAGUCGAGUGUGUACUUGAUCGCACUCGUUCUCAUUUGAAACGAAUGACUCAUGCUUAACAUGAUUUGCUUGGUUUACAUGACUUGAAAUGUCUGCUUAAACCUAUCAAAUGCUUGAAUACAUGAAAUGGUAUGCUAUGAUUGCAUACGUCGAUGGAGUGAAUCUCCUCGACAUUUACAUGACAAAUGGGGGACGCCCAAACUCAUAGGCCGACCUUGGAACUCGAGCCGGCAUGGGCUUGGUCGGGAACCUCGGUGAGCCAUGAACUCAAAUGAUAAGCUUGAUCUAUUGAGAGAUCUCGCUUGGCAUACUCGUAUAGUAUCGCCUUAUAAAUGUAGUGCGGGCCCGAAGUGGUAUAUGGUGGACGGAUGGGAAGUAAGUGGUGAACUACGGAUAUGAAAAUAUCAAUCCGGUUGACGGAGAGUCAUCACGGAAAGAUAUAUAAACGGUGUCGGCAAAUGUGGAACUUAGCUCCUGAGAGCUUCUAUAUCCUUGAAUUGUUUCUGGUUACAGUUUAUUGGUGUUAUUAAUUACUUGCAAGAUAAUACCUGAAUUGUUAUUGGGCUUGUUAUCUGAACUAUGUGGUUGCAUGUGUGUUCUUGGCCUCACGAGCGUUUUGCUCACCCUGUAGAUUUGUUUUCCUUAACAGGUUUGAACUCGAAGGUAAAAUGGAGAAGCCCUCUUGAUGUACUUUUGUUUAGGGCUUGUUAUUACUUUUGGUUAUGCCUUUGGUUUUGGAAUUGUACUUUUGGUAUGGAAAUGUGACCUUGAGAACUGUCACAGUUGGUAUCAGAGCCAUAUGCCGACAGUUGGGACCUUAAGUCCUUCGUCUGGAAAAGCCCCGAGCCUCUCGUUCGUGAAGAGUCACGAAGCGAAACUCUCCGUAGGGAAUGCCCGCGUGCGGGUGGUAAGCUGAUAGGUACCCCGUGAUGUGACCCUUUGGACGAAAUGUAAUCGGGUAUUCUGACGUGUGGUUUGGAGAAUGGAUGACUAUUAUUAAGUUUGAAUACUUCCGCAUUUAUUGUAUCUAAGUUAUUGGCUUGUAUUGUGUGGUCCGGCUAUAAGUUGAAUGGAAUUGCUUGAGUCCUGGCGAGAGCUAG
rnacentral:lncRNA from 1 species